UGGCGACCAUAGCGUUUUGGACCCACCUGAACCCAUUCCGAACUCAGAAGUGAAACGAAAUAGCGUCGAUGGUAGUGUGGGGUUUCCCCAUGUGAGAGUAGAACAUCGCCAGGCU
rnacentral:rRNA from 1 species